rnacentral:miRNA from 1 species
GGGUGCGGGUGUGGGCUG